rnacentral:lncRNA from 1 species
GGGUUCUGGGUCGUACCGACAGGUUCUGGGCCAUGUCCAUGAGUUUUGGACCAUGCCGGCAGGUUCUGGACCAUGCCAGUGGGUUCUAGACCGUGCUGGCAGGAAGACAUCGGUCAGCAUUAUGAAUACGGAGCCUGGGCGUGCCCUACGUGCUCGGGCCUCUAGUCAUAGCUGGCAUCGAAAGCAUCUAGCCCUUGUGCACCCAGUACAC